rnacentral:rRNA from 1 species
CACGUAGGGCGCAAGCGUUGUCCGGAAUUAUUGGGCGUAAAGAGCUCGUAGGCGGUCUGUUGCGUCCGCUGUGAAAACCCGAGGCUUAACCUCGGGCUGGCGGUGGAUACGGGCAGACUAGAGGUAGGUAGGGGAGAAUGGAAUUCCCGGUGUAGCGGUGAAAUGCGCAGAUAUCGGGAGGAACACCGGUGGCGAAGGCGGUUCUCUGGGCCUUACCUGACGCUGAGGAGCGAAAGCGUGGGGAGCGAACAGG